rnacentral:tRNA from 1 species
GCCUUAUUGGCUCAGGGGUAGAGCGUCUGUCUAGUAAACAGAAGGUCACUGGUUCGAUUCCAGUAUAAGGCA